ensembl:lncRNA
CCUUUUAAUCUCCAGAAUCCCCCUCAGAUGGGCAUCUGCCAACUGCUCCCUUUGGCCCCUCUUUGCCGCCUCCUUCAGUGAAAUAAUUUUUCCCUGUGAUGGUUAAUUAACUUAGCAGCUUGACUGCGCGCCGAGAUGUUCAUGGUUUAGUAACUCAGUCGUGUCCGACUCUCUCGACCCCGUGGACUGUAGCCCGCCAGGCUCCUCUAUCCUUGGGAUUCUCCAGGCAAGAACACGACUGGGAAUGACAUCCGGGUGGUGAAGAGGGGCACCCCGGCCCGGCUACGGCUCCCCGACAGCCCGCCAUCGGCCCCCACGGUGCUGAAUCGGAGGCUCUCGUCGAGGGGCCUGGAUCCCAUCCUGGUUACUGCAAAUGGGCAUGUUCUUUCCAGCCGGAUGUUCUACGUUUUUUAAGCACUUUUAUUCCAAGUAGGGCCCAAGACCAAUGUUGUCCAUUAAAGGUGACUCUCUUCUGGCAAGAAACAAGAACUUGAGCAAGAACUCUCAGGACUGGAAGGGAAAAGUUGAGAAACAGUAGAAAAUGCGUCCCUGGCAGCCUGGUGCAGAGCGGAGCAGCCCAGCGCCGACACCCCUGCGGCACUAGAGGGCGGGGCAGAGAAGCGGCGAAGCGCCAGGCGCCAGAGCCCGCCAGGGGGAGCUGGGUAUUUCCGAGCUGUCCGCCCAGGGUAUUCACCAAUUCUUUGUUGUUCAGUCCGUAAGUCGUGUGAGACUCUUUGCGACCCCAUGGACUGCAGUCCGCCAGGCUUCCCUGUCCUUUACUAGCUCCCGGAGCUUGCUCAAACUCAUGUACAUCGAGUUGGUGAUGCCAUCCAACCAUCUCAUCCUCUGUCGUCCCCUUCUCCUUCUGCCUUCAAUCUUUCCCAGCAUCAGGGUCUUUUCCAACCAGUCUGCUCUUCGCAUCAGGUGGCCAAAGUGUUGGAGCUUCAGCUUCAGCAUCAGUCUUUCCAAUGAAUAUUCAGGGUUGAUUUCCUUUUUGACUGAUUUGAUCUCCUUGCUGUUUGAGACUCUCAGGAGUCUUUUCACAGUUCAAAAGCAUUGAUUCUUCAGUGUUCAGCCUUCCUUCUGGUCCAACCUCUUACAUCCAUUCAUGAUGUAACCCCCAAAA